UGGCGGCGCCCCCGCCCCUCAGCGGCUCCUCCGGCGGCUCCGGGGCUCUCCUGGCAAGUCCGGCGCUCUCCCGGCGGGGUUGGGGGUCUUCCGAUGGGCCUGGGGCUCACCCGGCGCCUCCCCGCUCCUCCGAGGCUCCGGCCACGCCUCAGGAUGACCCUGUAGGCUGAGCGGGGGUAGCGGGGAGGGCUGAGCUGUCCUCAGGGCCCCGAGCCUCCGGCAGGCUCUUUCUCAGCCGGUGGCAGCCCGUGGGAGGCGAGGAGUCCCUGUACCCUCUCCCUCAGCCGCUCUUAAGCGAGGGGCGGGGGCUCCGGCCGUGGGCGUCCGGCCGCCCGUCAUUGGGGAGCGGAAACCUUAAGGGAAAGGAAAAAAAAAAAAAAAAAAAAAAAGAGAUAAAGCAAUGUAGGGCAUGCCUGAAGUUCGCUGGCCCUCUCGUAGAAAUCCAGUGUGUCCAUCAUCAUUUUGAGGUCUUCAAUAUGCGCUUGCAGUAUGUGGAUGAGGAAGAUUCCAGGCGAUGAAGGCAGCCUUUGAGUCUGUUUUGAAAUCCUCCGAAUUUCAGUUGGAUUCCCUGAAAAGGUGUGGUUCUGUUCAGUAAACAUGAAAAUAACCUCUAAUAAAUUCAAAGUUCAUGGAGACCACUGAACAUGGUCUAUUUGUUCCUAUUGUGCCAAGUUGUUUUUCAGUUCUGUACAAGGAAUUCAAGGAGGGAUAAGAAAUCGUUAAAUAUCUACGUAAGGGGGGAAAGGCAAGUAGGAAAUAGAGAAAGAGAUGGCCAAACAAAUGGAUAGCAGCAGGCUGAAUCGAAAAGUAUCCCCUACAAGCGCACAAACCUCUUGAAAGAUGGUUCAGGGAACAUUAAUCAACAGGGACAUACUCUACCCAGAAAAGAUAAUCUGUGAAGAGGUAGUACUAGACAGGUAUUGUUUCUACACAGAAGUUACUCAACUCAUGGCAUGUAAUGGACAGACAGACCCUGAUUUGAAAAAGAAGGUAAAAGUGAACAAAAUACCACUUAUUUUUUCUGACUAAAUCAUUAGCACCAGAGAGUUCAUUAAAGAAUGCUUAUAAUGAAAACCAGAUUCCAGAAUUGUAUUUUAUGCAAGGAAAACAAAACAAAAUGAAGAAUUGUUUAAGGAAGAAAAAUGACUAAAACUUGAAGUCAGACUCUGGCAUGCUUGAAUACCAUAUGCCUGCACUAUUGAGAGACUGGAGCAGAGUAUCUGGAGAAAGAUGAGAGAGUGUGGGUGGCAAUAGAAAAAACAACCACGACUGUAAGUUAGCAAGAUAAUAUCCUUACUUUCUUCUGUGGGUCUCAAGAGUGAUUAAAAAAACAUUGGUGUUUUAAAAAUAUUGCUGAGGACUACAGUGUGACUCAUAAUGCUUCAGAGAAUGGAAUUCUUGGAAGUUCCACUGUAAUGCCAGAUUUUAGAAUGGAGGGCAGCAGAGCUGCAGAGAAGUAACAUGAGGCUAUGUUGAUGGAGAAAGAACAUCUCUAAUGAAAUUCAAGUGAGAGAGAAAGAAAGGGAAAAGAAUGGGCCUGGGGACAUAUGACAAGACAAUUACUUAUACUGAGAACUGUUGCUUGCACUGAUGGGAAUGUUUCACUGCUUUUUGAGGUUUUAUUGGCCAGCACGCCUGCCUACACGACAGUUUGUCAUAUGCACAGCAGGGGAAGAUAAGUAAUGUUGACCAAUCAGACAAUGAAAGCAAUUACAAGAGAGUCCAAAAGUCCAUCCUAGAGCUGACCUAAAAGUUUUGGAUAAAACUUUUCUUCUUUCCUUCUUUUUAUUUUCCUUUAUUCUUUUGGGGUUUUCUUUGGGAUUUUUGGGGUUUUGUUUGGAGUGUGUGUGAAUUUCUGGUAAAUUCAGUGUUUUUGUGAGGGAAUGUAUUGGCUAAAUGUUGGGAAGCUUUCUCAAGUCAGAAUAACCUUUCUGGUCAGAAUAAAAUAAAGAAGAAUGUUUGUCAUCUGGAAUUAAAUAGUAGCCUCACUGUUACGGCAUGUACCUGAUAUUUUGCUUGAUACUGUAACACAGCUGUUUUAUAUCCUCAGUAAGUAGCUUUGCUAGGAAAAUGAACAGUCCAACCAUUCCCCACAAGUGCUGAUCAGUACCUCUUCUCUUAAAGUUCCAAGAAAAUGGUUUGUGUAUUUCACAGGCUAUGACACUGUCCAGGUUAUGGAAUUUCCAGGUUCAGAUCCAUGGACAUGGCCUGGGCUUGUACCAAAAAGUCCUCCUUUAAGUAAGUGUCCUCACUAUCUGACAGCUGAGGUAGGAUUGAAUUCUCCCUAUUGCUUAUACUGGAAGCCGAAAUGCUAAAAUCUAGACUUUUUAAUUAUUAUUUUUAGGUGCAUUCUUAUUAUCUAGGUCUUUCCUAUAAACUCUAGUUUGUGCAUACUAUUAAAUAAAAGAUGUUGGUUCAGAGUUCUGAAAUGUGUCAAUGGCUUAAAGAUGGAUAAUUCUGCUGUCUGGAUAGAAACUUUGUAUAUCUUGUAAACAUUUAAUGAUUAUUUGUCUGAUAAUUUGCAUCUAAGAAAUGCAAUUACUUGAUAUUUGGUAUUUCCUCUCUGAAAAAAGAAAGCCAUAUAAUCAGCAGGGGAGCAAAUAUGACACCGUUUAUGUAAGUGAUGGUUCUAUAUCACAGCUGAAUAAAUAUCCUAUGUGAACAAAUAGUUGAUACAUUCUUGGGUGAAAUUUCUUCAUGUAAUUUGAUCGAUGAAGUGUGUGGAUAAAUUAACUGAUCAUAACCAGUUCCUGAGCAAUUCAUGAACAGGAAGAAACACUGCAGAAGAGGGAAUUUGAAUAAUGUGUGUUUUGUUUCAUUUGAAUAACAGGAAAAUGUAUAUUUUUGAGUUGGCCAAAAUGGAAAAUGAAGUCUUAAUUUUUUUUUCCUAGAAAAUUUAAUCUAGUUACAUUUAGAAAUGAAACGUCUUAAAUGAAAAAGGUGGUCUAUUAUGAAAAUGAGCACAGGGUUUUUUUGUUUUACUUUUAGUGUUUUUAUGGUAUAAUGAAUUCUUAGUGGACUAAUUUUGCAGUUUUCAGAUGGAUGACACAUGGAUUUUAACCAGGUUGAAAUGGCAAUUGUGUAGAUUAAAAAUUUGAUUAAAAAUUUGUCCAGUUUUCCUGGGCUUACAAUCUACCACUUCCUUAUUUCCCAAAGCAGCGAAUUGAGAAAUAUUUAUUCAUUAUGGGAUUAAUGCAACUAAUUUUCUCUCAUAUUGCCUGUCAUCCAGUAAAUUUCAUAAUAUGUGACCACAGCCAGGCUAUUAUGAUCUCAGAGUCAGCAGUACAAUCUACAAUGCAUGAUGAUAGCAGGUUCUCAGAUAAACAGGACUUUGGACAUAAUGAAAAAAUGCACCAAAAAUUUGAGUAAACAGCAGCAAGUCAAUCUGCAUCUUCUCAGUUUGUGUAGGAGAUAAGUUGGAGCUGGGAAACAUUUUCUGUUAUGUGCAUUAAUGGAUGUACAACUCAUCCAAUCACUCGGGAGCUAAUACUGCACUUUUCCGUUCUAUGCAUAAAAAAUGUCAUGCCAAAUGACUCUGAGUGGUAUCCAUAAUGAUGAAUUUACAGCCAUCAGUAAGGAGACUUCUUCGAUUGCCUGCAUUAAAGCAGCAGAUGAUUAUGAUCCCAUCCAGUGAUGCUUUUCCUUGGCCUUAUUAAAAAAGAACAGCAUACAAGGCAAUCAUACCCUUGGGUGUCUUUUGACUUACUCAAAAGUAUGACUUAAGUGUUGAUUUCUUUUCUGAAAAAGCCCAAAUUCCAUUUUGCAAUGAUGACACAUCCAUCGUCUAAAAACAAAUGACAUGGGAAUUGCAAUGAAUGCCCUGAUUGCUCACCUGGUAGCAAAAAUAGCACCAGGUUUCAGAGACAAUAUUUAUCUGUGCAUGUCUGUCACUGCUGUGCAUGGGAAUAGAUAAUCCUCUCCCUCUUCUCAUUGUCCCACAGUUUGGCCCUUAUCUCACACAUUUGUAAUACAGUGCUGCAGUCUCUCAGAGACCUCAGUGGCUUCUUUCCCACCAUCUGGCCCUUGAACCACUGUCUUACUUCAUUGAGCAAGAGGGGCUUGACAGAUCUAGGAAUGAGCUGUGAGACAGUGUUCAAUAACUGAAAAGAUAGAAUAAAGUCUGAUUUUCCUUUUUGUCAAGUCUCUUUUCUUGGGAUUAGAUUUAUUAACAAAACAGAAGGUUCCAAAGUGAUUUAAUAUUGGCACAGAAUAUGUGGUAAAAGAAAAAGGAGAUAUUUCCAGCUUCAAGCAGUGUCUGCAGGAAGUGCUAAUAUACAUCUCUCUGGGUAGCUUCCUAUCCAGCCUUAGAAAACAGAUGUAUUUCUAUGGUACAUAUCAGUUUGUUUCAGUUCUACUGGUAAAUCACUAUGGAGUUCCUCCAGACCUGUCUUUGUGUUCAUGACAAUGCAGUAGAAGAGUUUUACUCAGUCAGUAAAAAAAAUACAAAAUGCAAGGUCCAUGACAUUUCUUCCUCAAUCUGCUCUUUUUUCUUCCAUUCUGUCCCUCCCAGUAGAUAACUUCCGGAAUGUAUAAUGGCUGAAGGAAUCAACUGAAGACAUCUCAUGGGAAUAGGAGAGGUCUUGCCAGUCAGUUCUGGGGAACAGUUCCAAAUUCUUCUGUUGCAUAUGCUUACCAUACCUUUGCUCUAAUCAGGUAGAUAGAACAGUUGACUCCUUUUGAUGUCAUGGUAGUUUAUUUUGUAACAGAUACUUCUGUCAGCUAAACACUGUCAGAGACAGAUGUGCAUGACCAUCAAAAAAAUUAGAGCCCAACAUAAUCAUUCCAGUGGCAUGUGCUCUAGAGAAGGCAAUAUACAGUUAAAAGGAAAAAAAAGAUUAAAUGAAAUAGAGGGAACUAGACAACCGAGUUUCAUUUAAUCUCUUCAAUUUCCCCAGAACUGUUCCUUAUUCACCAACACACACACAAUGGACGUGUUUCACUUCUGAGUGGGAAGAAAUAGAAAUUAACUUAGUCAUUUAAAAAUUUUUUUUGUAUAUUUAUGACUUCUUGGAAUAACUAUUUCAUUCCAUAAAAUGCACAAGUCCCUGCCUCUCCCUUUCCAAUGUUCCAAAACCACUCUGGGCUAAUUUUGAUCUCUGCAAUUGUAUGUGUCUGUGUUAGUGGCACAGUAUGUUCUCUGUGUCCACGUGCUGCAAAUCUCAUUGACAGCAGCCUUGCGCCCUAUUCUUUCCUGAUUGUCCUUCAUCACAACUGGAAAGUGAUCAAAUAAACAGUAUUUUUUCUUGCA